GACAACUUUCUGAUUUCUGAUGUACAUUUAGCCACUAGGCAGAAGGCACUAAGAAGUAGAACGUGUGUCUUAACCAUGUGUGGAUUACGUAAAAGUUAGCGUGAAAUUGAGGGAAGCAUGAACAAUGAACAUCCUAGCAUUAUAAUGAGUUACAUGUUUACCAGUGAGAGUGAGAGCGCUGAGCUGGCUGAAUCUCCUGCUUUAUUGCUCUUAAUUAAUUAAUUGCUCUUAAUGUGUCGAUCAUUAAAUCUAGAUAACUAGCCCUGUCUUCAUGUUUGAUAACGAAUUAACUGAAUUUUAAGUAUUAUCGCUAAUGGAAUUACUAAUAUCACUCUGAUAAGGCAAGCGAGGUGGUGCAAGAGGGAUUGGAGAAGGGUCUGAUUGAUUACGGGAAAUUACCCUCUGUGGAUGUGGAGAGGGACGAGGAGACUGUCUGGACUACCGGAAUUGACUGGGUACAGGAGAAGUUGGAGUGCUGUGGUAUCACUGACGGCUACGACUGGUCACGUAAUGCCGGGGCCGCUACUUGGUGGAUAUCAAUCACCGGGGGUAACCAUAUCAACGAUACUCCGGACAGCUGUUGUGUUAAGAUUACUGAGAACUGUGGAGUGGGUAUGGCGGUACAGGGAGUUCAAUCUACUGUGCAUGAAGAUGGGUGUUUCACGUUUGCUAAGAAUUGGGUGGAAGACAAAUCAAUGAUAAUGGGCGUGUGUGGAUUGAUCUUCAUUAUUUUUGAGAUCUUCAACAUUAUCAUCGCCUGCAUGCUGAGGAAUUCCAUGACAUCCAUCUCUUAAGUCCUUUCUCUGGGAAAAUAUCAAGGCAUGCAGACCACCUACCUCUCUGAUAUUAACCUGUUCUUAUCAAAGAAUGUACCCUACUGGGACAAAUUCGGGCGAUAUCUCCUUAUAUUCACAUUUGUUAUUAUCGGGAAAAGUGUAUCACGGUAUCUGGUGAGGACUAUCAAGGGAGAUAAGAAGAAGAAAGCAACUGUGAAAGAAGCUGAAGAGAAGAAGGAUGAAUAGAUCUGACCAGAUUGAAAAUAACUCGAUAUUUUAACUUUCUAUUGAGUGUGACAGUAGUGGUUAUCAUUUUAUAAUUUAUAAGACACUUAUUUUAAGUUUUUCGCCUAAUCCGUUGUCUACAGAGUUCACAAAUGAAGUUUAAUGCGCUUCAAGGACAUCUGUUUGCGUUUUAAGAUAAUCAUAAGAAUCCAUUUAUAAUAUUAUAAUCUAUAUAAAUGAUAUUUAUAUUUUAUGAAGCUUUCAUUACACGGU